rnacentral:rRNA from 1 species
GACGUAGGGCGCGAGCGUUGUCCGGAUUUAUUGGGCGUAAAGAGCUCGUAGGCGCUUGUCGCGUCGAAUGUGAAAUCCUGCGGCUCAACUGCAGGCUUGCAUUCGAUACGGGCAGGCUCGAGUUCGGUAGGGGAGACUGGAAUUCCUGGUGUAGCGGUGAAAUGCGCAGAUAUCAGGAGGAACACCGGUGGCGAAGGCGGGUCUCUGGGCCGAUACUGACGCUGGAGGAAGCGAAAGCCAUGGGGGAGCGAACAGG